rnacentral:rRNA from 1 species
GACGUAGGGUCCAAGCGUUAUCCGGAUUUACUGGGCGUAAAGCGCGCGUAGGCGGUCUGUUAAGUGCACAAGUGAAAGCUCCGGGCUCAACUCGGAAAUUGCUUUGCAUACUGGCAGGCUGGAGGGACGCAGAGGUCUGUGGAAUUCCUGGUGUAACGGUGAGAUGUGUUGAUAUCAGGAGGAACACCCAUGGCGAAGGCAGCAGACUGGGCGUUUCCUGACGCUGAGGCGCGAAAGCGUGGGUAGCAAACAGG